UACAGAGGGUGCGAGCGUUAAUCGGAAUUACUGGGCGUAAAGCGUGCGUAGACGGUUUCUUAAGUCGGGGGUGAAAUCCUGGAGCUCAACUCCAGAACUGCCUUCGAUACUGGGAAACUUGAGUCCGGGAGAGGUGAGUGGAACUGCGAGUGUAGAGGUGAAAUUCGUAGAUAUUCGCAAGAACACCAGUGGCGAAGGCGGCUGACUGGUCCGGUUCUGACGCUGAGGCGCGAAAGCGUGGGGAGCAAACAGG
rnacentral:rRNA from 1 species